rnacentral:tRNA from 1 species
GCCCGAGUGGUGAAAUUGGUAGACGCACUGGACUCAAAAUCCAGCAGUAGUGAUACUGUGCCGGUUCAACUCCGGCCUCGGGCACCA